rnacentral:tRNA from 4 species
GGGCGUGUCGGUUAACUGGCAAACCACUCCUCUCCAAAAGGAGCAUACUGGGGGUUCGAGUCCCUCCACGCCUGCCA